UUCUCUUCCUUCACGUCUGUCUUCUUGAUCUCUGCCUUGAAAGCCUCCGCCUCCCCGUUCUGGUCGUCCUUCGCCAGCAGGUCCAUGAGCUUACUGCCUGCACCUAAGCACCUCCACCAGCCUUCACUCGAGUGACUCGCGCCUGAAGUCGGUUUCAUGCUUCUUGAACUGGUAUGAUCGGAAAGUUAAGAAGCCGGAAAACUGAGGAGUGAAUGUCAUGUACCUCCCCAGACCUGGAGGGAAACGGAGCUCAAGCCAAAAGGAGUGGGUGUAAAUGCGACAACAAAAAUAAAUACUUUAUAUCACCCUGCAGAACUUA